AUAAUACAUGUCAAAGACCGUGCAAUCCAAUAUGCUGUAGAAGAUAUAAUGUAACGAAUUGAUAGAGUCCUAUUCAGAUGAAAAGCAAGUAUUUUUGAAUAUUUGAGAAGACAAGAAUUACUAUUAUCAAAUUGUUAAACACUUAUGCAAAGUUUAAAAUGUGUUAUAUUACAUGCAGUUUGCAUAUAUUGGUACUUUUAAUCAUGUUCUCUUGAACUUUCACUGACAAAUACAACGAAGCAGACGAAUGCAAUUGGAUAACGAUAAUUCCUGACAUUCGAACUUAUCGGUUUUUGAAAGAUUUAAACGAUACGGAAGUUCCAACUGGUGAUAAUAUUUCAAAAUAACGCAAUGCGGUGUUUCGUGAGAAAAUUUAAACGAAACUUCGAACGUGCAACGCGUUAAAAUAAUUUAUGUACGAAAUCUAUGUAUUUCCGCGAUAUGGUUGCCAGAAAAAUAUUCUCUAUGGAGAGAAUGGAAGAAAGUAGCAUGCAUCACAUAUAGUUAGUGAACUAGUGACGUCAUUCAUACUUCAGCUAAUAGAUAAAAGAACUAACGAAUGAAAUAAUUCAAUUUUAUAAAAUAAAAGAAUGAAAGUAUUUGUGCAAUUAAAUAUGAUAUUAUAUUUUUUUAAUUCGUAUGUAACGGACUAUUUUAUAAAUUAAAUAUAUUUUUUAAAUUUUGAUAUUUACGAUAUAAAUUAUUUUGAUAAUUAUAGAAAAAAAUGAUUUUAAAUAUUAUUUAAAAAUCAUCGAAAUCGAUGAAGUGUGCUUUUUUUCUAUUAUUUUAUUUAUAUUUAUCAAUAAUAUUGUUAUUGUUUGGUAAUAAAACUUUGUUCUUAAUGGAUUCAAAUAAAUUUAUACUGAGAUUAUUAUUAUAAAACAAUAAUGAUAUUUCCUUAAAAUAGAAACGAUUAAUUAGUAUCAAUAUUGUAUUAUAAUCAAUAAUGUAUUAUAAUCAUAUUAUAAUGUUUAAAUCUUGAAACAUUCCAUUAUAAAAACAUUCAUUAUUUCACCAAUUAUUAUUCGAUUGCAUCAUUAAAAUGUUCUAUUGUUCAUACAAUACAUUUUAUAUUGUAUAUAUUGUAUAUAUAUAUAGUUUAUGCAUAAUAUAAAUAAUUUCUAGUGUGUAUAAAGUUCACAAUUUAAUAAAUUAUGUAUAUUCCAUCA